rnacentral:rRNA from 1 species
UACGGGGGGGGCAAGCGUUGUUCGGAAUUACUGGGCGUAAAGGGCGCGUAGGCGGCCUUCUAAGUCAGACGUGAAAUCCCCCGGCUUAACCUGGGAACUGCGUCUGAUACUGGGAGGCUUGAGUAUGGGAGAGGGAUGUAGAAUUCCAGGUGUAGCGGUGAAAUGCGUAGAUAUCUGGAGGAACACCGGUGGCGAAGGCGGCAUCCUGGACCGGUAUUGACGCUGAGGCGCGAAAGCCAGGGGAGCAAACGGG